UAGGAGAACACCUCACCAUCGGCUAAAAAUACGACCCCCAGCCCGGGCGGGGACGCUGGGCGGCGGGAGGGCGCUCUCGCGUCCCCGGGGUGGGGCAGGGGCUAGGGCUCAGGCUGGAGGACGGGACCCGGAGUUCGGGUUCGGGAUGCGCUGCGCCCCGCAGGCGGAGGGGGGCGCGGGCGUGGCCUCGGGACCGAGGCGCAGGCGGGAAACACCGUGGAGCCCGAGACUCCCAGGAAAGAACCUGCGCGGAGUACUAGAAAGGUUCAAGGGCAGGCCCUACACCGGGAGCUGGAGGUAGAGGGCAGGAAACUGCCCUCGCUGCAUUCAACGAUUCAGCAGAUCCUUGCUGAGCAUCUGCCAGGUGCCGGAUGCUGUCCUUGUCGCUGAGGAUUCAGCCCCUCUGGACUGAGACCUACAGUCCAAGGAAGGGACGGAGGAGGAAGCCCAAGUCCCCAACCUUCGAGAUGGAGGAAGGGGCCACAAACAGAGGAAUGCGGGCGGCCUCUAGAAGCUGGAAGAGACAAGGAAACAGAUUCCCCCAGAACCUCCAGAAGGAACUAGUCCUGCUGACACCUCGAUUUUGGCCCGUGAGACCCAUGGUGGACUUCUGACCUACAGAACUCCUCUAGUGAUAUGUCCAGCCUGGCUGCCAGGCUGGGGCUCCCAACCAGGUCCCAAAGCCACAGGAACCGCCAUCUGCGCUCUGAGGACUGCUGUAAGCCUGCCUGGAUGUGACAAGCUUCCGCCUACUGCUGACUGCCCAUGCGCUCGGUGCACUUCUGCCACUGGCCACAACAAGGGGCCCCCCAAAGACCAGAUCUGAGACACAAUCUGUGCCUGGUGGUGGGGUCUGUGCUUUGCAAGUGCUCAGACAGGUAGUCGCUGUCCCCAUUCACAGAUGAGGUUGUGUCGCCAGGCUGGGGCCAGAGGAAUCCCUGGGGAGCCUGCUGCCGGCUCCUCGUGGUUCUGCUGAACGGACGGGAUCUUGCAUACACACCCGGUGGCGCCGUGAGAGCCCUGCAAUUAAUGAGGAUUUCUAAAACAGGAUUUCAUUUACUAAAAUUGGCUUUUUUAAGCAACUUCUCAGACUGUGUGUAAGGGCCUGAGUGUGGGUGGGGAGGCUGGGAUCCUGAGCCAGGGGACGGCCGGGGCGUCCUGCAUUUCUGACCCAAUGGACACUUGGGCCACCCUCCCCCCGCCCAGCCUGCACCCUGUGUCCAGGGUCUGGUGCCUCAGCCAG